rnacentral:rRNA from 1 species
GACAGAGGGUGCAAACGUUGCUCGGAAUCACUGGGCGUAAAGGGCGCGUAGGCGGGGAUGUAAGUCGGGCGUGAAAUCCCCAGGCUCAACCUGGGAACUGCACUCGAAACUGCGUUUCUUGAGUAUCGGAGAGGAAAGCGGAAUUCCUGGUGUAGAGGUGAAAUUCGUAGAUAUCAGGAGGAACACCAGUGGCGAAGGCGGCUUUCUGG